UCCCCAACCUCGUACGAGCCGGCUGCGAGAUCCAACGACCUCCGCACGGCAGUUCCAUUAGAGAUGCCUCUAGGGAAGAGAUCCACACGACUAUCCUAGAAAUCCGAAGAAAUCAUACCAAGGUCAAAUAGAAUGGGCAGGCAACUUGAAUCGUUAAGCAGAGGACUGGGAAUCAAGAUUCCAACCCAAAUCACUGAAGGGAACAAAAGCCAGAGCCACCUAUUCAAGCUACUAAGUUUGCAUUAGAGGGAUGGUCGCCAAGGCCAGGGAUUUACUGUCGAGGUGUACAAGUCCAUGGCAGUGGCUGUUUGUGGAGAUUAGAAGCUGAUGAGGGAGUCUCGUAGCAGAACUUCAAUGUUGAGAUGUACUGACUUAACUAUGUUCAUGUAGUAUAUCAUGUUACUUUUUUUAUUAAACUAGCAAAAGGUUGUGUUAAUAAUUCAUGGUGUACUAAAUGUGAUACCAUCUUCAUUUUGUCUAA